ensembl:lncRNA
UCUAGGCAAGAAUACUGGAGUGAGUUGCUAUUCUCUUCUCCAGGGGAUCUUCCUGACCCAGGGAUCUAAACUCCGGAGUAUCCUGCAUUGAAGGCGGAUUCUUUACCAUCUGAGCCACUGGGGAGGCCCAAGACGACGCUGGGGAUUGGCAGAGGCUGCUUCGCUGUUAGAGAAUUAUUUCAUGCGUCCUUUUAGAAAUGAAAUGCACCGCUGGGUCCUCUCGGCACAAAAGCCCUGUCUGCAAUCAGAGCUUGGGGAGUUGGACAGCCUCGACGAGGCCUCACAGCCAGACCAAGGUUGGAACACAUGCCCCACCCCACCCCAGGGCCUGUGUUCACCUGCAGCACUGGUUCUGCUCGAGGUCGAGCGGCUGGGGGUUGGUGGGUCUGCUGGAAGCUAGAGGCCCCACUCCCAGCUUUGGUCUUGCUCUGCCUCUAAGGCUGGGAUGGAGGCUGGAAGACAUGGGUUCUAACCUGCUCCUUCCCAGUUCAGUGUCCCAGUUAAAGGCCUUCUUGUCUGAUUCCUCCCCCUUUUCAGUUACUCUUUCCUCCCCUUUCUAUCUGGGAAGUGUGUCCUGGCCUCAGCUCCCCUCUCUGCAGUGUCCUGUCCCUGCCAGCUCUCAUCAGGAUGGCCUGGC